UACAGAGGUCUCGAGCGUUGUUCGGAUUCAUUGGGCGUAAAGGGCGCGUAGGCGGCGGGGUAAGUCUGGUGUGAAAUCUCGGAGCUCAACUCCGAAAUUGCACUGGAUACUGCUCUGCUAGAGGGCUGGAGAGGAGAUCGGAAUUCACGGUGUAGCAGUGAAAUGCGUAGAUAUCGUAAGGAAGACCAGUGGCGAAGGCGGAUCUCUGGACAGUUCCUGACGCUGAGGCGCGAAAGCGUGGGGAGCAAACGGG
rnacentral:rRNA from 1 species